CUCGUAGUUGAACCUUGGGCUUGGUUGGCCGGUCCGCUUUUUUGCGAGUACUGGAUUCAACCGAGCCUUUCCUUCUGGCUAACUAGUUCUUUCGGGGGCUAGCGAACCAGGACUUUUACUUUGAGAAAAUUAGAGUGUUCAAAGCAGGCAUUAGCUUGAAUAUAUUAGCAUGGAAUAAUAGAAUAGGACGUUAUGGUUCUAUUUUGUUGGUUUCUAGGACCAUCGUAAUGAUUAAUAGGGACGGUCGGGGGCAUCAGUAUUCAGUUGUCAGAGGUGAAAUUCUUGGAUUUACUGAAGACUAACUACUGCGAAAGCAUUUGCCAAGGACGUUUUCAUUAAUCAAGAACGAAAGUUAGGGGAUCGAAGAUGAUCAGAUACCGUCGUAGUCUUAACCAUAAACUAUGCCGACUAGGGAUCGGGUGUUGUCCUUUUUUUGGCGCACUCGGCACCUUACGAGAAAUCAAAGUUUUUGGGUUCUGGGGGGAGUAUGGUCGCAAGGCUGAAACUUAAAGGAAUUGACGGAAGGGCACCACCAGGAGUGGAGCCUGCGGCUUAAUUUGACUCAACACGGGGAAACUCACCAGGUCCAGACACAAUAAGGAUUGACAGAUUGAGAGCUCUUUCUUGAUUUUGUGGGUGGUGGUGCAUGGCCGUUCUUAGUUGGUGGAGUGAUUUGUCUGCUUAAUUGCGAUAACGAACGAGACCUUAACCUACUAAAUAGUGCUGCUAGCUUUUGCUGGUAUAGUCACUUCUUAGAGGGACUACCGAUUUCAAGUCGGUGGAAGUUUGAGGCAAUAACAGGUCUGUGAUGCCCUUAGACGUUCUGGGCCGCACGCGCGCUACACUGACGGAGCCAGCGAGUAUUAACCUUGGCCGAGAGGUCUGGGAAAUCUUGUGAAACUCCGUCGUGCUGGGGAUAGAGCAUUGUAAUUAUUGCUCUUCAACGAGGAAUUCCUAGUAAGCGCAAGUCAUCAGCUUGCGUUGAUUACGUCCCUGCCCUUUGUACACACCGCCCGUCGCUACUACCGAUUGAAUGGCUUAGUGAGGCCUCCGGAUUGGUUUAAGGAAGGGGGCAACUCCAUCCUGGAACCGAAAAGCUGGACAAACUUGGUCAUUUAGAGGAAGUAAAAGUCGUAACAAGGUUUCCGUAGGUGAACCUGCGGAAG
rnacentral:rRNA from 1 species